GGAAGGGGACUUGUGCUUUCAGAAGGGAGAUCUUUUUCUUUUCUUCUUGGCUUCACAUGCUAGAAAGGGAAGUCCAAGCUCUCCUGGUCCGCAGUGGGGUGAGCAGAGGAAUGGAGGAGAAGUGUCAGUCCAAUCCCGGGUCCUCCCUGCAACAGGAUCUUUGCAAUGACUUCAAGAGCUUCAUGGCCGUUCUGCAGACAGAUGCACAAUUGUGAAACAUCAAUAUGGACUGCAAAUCUCUACUGUCAGUCAGCUUCUCUUCCCCUCUGCAUAAUGUAAUCCCUAUCUCCACAAUGCCUGCACAGAUACACGUUAGCAAAGAUGUUUUUCUGGAGAUAGUGUGCAUAGCAAACACUCCCUUACUUGUUCUCAUCUCUAGCAACAUUAUACGGAGUUUCAGUUCACAGUUCCCUGUGUUCCCCCUCCUACCACUGAAAUGCAGCCAACUCUGAGCUGCGGCUAUUAAACAUCACACAAGCAACACCACGAAACAGAUUGUGGAAAGCACGGGAAUUCAGGGAAAAGGAACAAAUUGAGAGAGGUCUGGGAAGUGAUAACAAAGGAUCAUAGGGAAUGAGUUACUCAUGAUGCAGAAUAGCCUUCACCUUGGUGUUCAGGUGCUACCAGCAUGCAAGGGCAAGUUUUUGAGGGUAGCACAAAGAGAUGUCACUAGGAGCAGUCAGGUUUCAGCCAGGGAGACGAGCAAGUCAGCUUCCUUAACCACUGAGUUUUGUCAGUCUGUCAGUCCCAAGGAAAGGGCUGAAGGCAUCAUUGCUUGUGGGUUUUAAAACUGGUCAGUUUCAAGACAGGUCAAGGCACUUUCAGGACGGAUGAAUAAAACAAGGUAGAGCAAGUACUGUAUCUAUUCCCACUUUGUAUGAGUCUGAGAAAACAGUUGGGAGAAAGAUGGAAAGGUCUGAAGGAAUUACAUGUACAAAGUAAGAAAACAGUGUGAACUGGUGUGAUAAUAGGUGUGACUUGGCCAGGGAAAAGCUUCCAAAGACAGUGCUCUUCUUUGACAACAUGAUAACCUUAAGGUGAGAAAGGAGGAAAAAGGGGAAGAUAUGCAAUAAAUCAGAGGAAAGAGAAAUGUGUGUGAAUGUAUGUAGCUGUUUAUGUGUGUGUAGCACAACACGAUUCUCAUUCAUAUUGGAAAGUAAGUGUCUGCAUCUCAGUUUGCUUACACUAGUGGCUUGAAGAGGGCACCUUGGCACAAAACCUGCACAUGGAUUCUUGCUGCUUUAGGUAAAGUGAUGAGUGGGGAAGGUAGCCAGACACUUUCACUGAGCAUUCAAUGGACAGCUAAGAAGCAACUGCAAAAGUCUGUUCCCAACUCAAGUUGCAUAGCAACACCAAAUUGUCAGAUUGCUGUUAUGUCAGUCCCUUACAUUAUCCCCAUUAUUACAGCCGGUUUUAGGAAUCACGCAGUACGAUAUUACUAGCCCACUUCCCAGCUGGAUAUGUGACCUUUGUCUCUUGCUGAAUGAUGCCAUGUAAUUUGCUGCAAAGGUGUCUCAAAGUAGUACACCAGAGAGAAAAAUCUUUGAGGAUUCACCAACACAGACCAUAAGGAGCAAAGGAUGGGCCUGUGCAGGAUGGGGCAGGAGGGGCGGUUCAGGGCACAUCAGUAUCCUCAAAGAAGUCUAGUGUCUGCCAAACUCAUCAGGAUGUGUGUUACCCCAUCACUUCUCUGAACUGAGUCAUUGAUCCAGCUGAAAGCCUGUAUUAAGGCCAAGGCAACCAGGGUCGCUGGAUACCAAGGUGUGGCCGGAGUUUUAAGGAUGCUAAUAAACUGAAUGAACUCCUUUACUGUGAACAUCAGAGUGACGUGGACUUAGGACAUCAGGUAUAAUGAAAAUUACCUUACAGGCCUUUUGCACUGGAUGAUGGGGAGAGUGACCUGCUUAAGCAAGUAAUUCUCAGUGAUGUAUCUCCUUUCUGAAGAGUGCCUGGUUGUAAAUUCUACCAGCUUUUUCAAGAUCACUGCUGCAAAUUAUGAACCAGCAAACAGACCUCAGAAGGACAAGAUAGACUGCCUGUUCCCUCUGUAUAGAGUAAUGGAAUUAUUCUGCUUAAUUAAAACAACUGAUGAGAAAACAAAGAGCCUCAAGAUUCAGUUCCUCUGUAUCUGUGCCCAGAAUGCAAAGUACGCAAGUGGCACAACACCUGGACUAGGACCUGCAAGUCACUCUUGCUUGAUAGCAAGGAGACUGAGCUCAAAGUCUAACACAGCAGAUGAUAAACAUCCACGUAGGACAUUGCUAGAAGAGAUCUAAUGGCUGUGGAGUUACCCUUAACAAAUGAACAUCUCUUUAAUGCAAAAUAGCUUAGCAGUUCUUAUGAAAAAGGAACAAAAGCUGUUUGUCUGAUUUUCACCUUUCUUCCCUUUAGUACUCCCCUGAACUGCUGGAUGGGCCACUCCAAAAAGCUUAUUUCCUUCUCCAGGAGAGAGUCUUCUCUCUGUAUUUCCGAUUUAUCUCGCUUCCCACUGAGGAUGAGGGAUUUGAGAUUGAUGCCUUUUCCUGGU